UUGUUGUUGUUGACUUUCUCUUAGGGUUGU
rnacentral:piRNA from 1 species